UACGAAGGGUGCAAGCGUUAAUCGGAAUUACUGGGCGUAAAGCGUGCGUAGGCGGUUUCUUAAGUCCGUUGUGAAAGCCCUGGGCUCAACCUGGGAACUGCGAUGGAUACUGAGGAGCUGGAGUACGGUAGAGGAAGGUGGAAUUCCCGGUGUAGCGGUGAAAUGCGCAGAUAUCGGGAAGAACACCCGUGGCGAAGGCGGCUCUCUGGAACGCAACUGACGCUGAGACGCGAAAGCGUGGGUAGCAAAC
rnacentral:rRNA from 1 species